rnacentral:rRNA from 1 species
UACGAAGGGGGCUAGCGUUGCUCGGAAUCACUGGCGUAAAGGGUGCGUAGGCGGGUUUUAAGUCAGGGGUGAAAUCCUGGAGCUCAACUCCAGGACUGCCUUUGAUACUGAAGAUCUUGAGUCCGGGAGAGGUGAGUGGAACUGCGAGUGUAGAGGUGAAAUUCGUAGAUAUUCGCAAGAACACCAGUGGCGAAGGCGGCUCACUGGCCCGGUACUGACGCUGAGGCACGGAAAGCGUGGGGAGCCAAACAGGG